CAGUAGCCGCGGUAAUACAGAGGGUGCGAGCGUUAAUCGGAUUUACUGGGCGUAAAGCGUGCGUAGGCGGCUUCUUAAGUCGGAUGUGAAAUCCCUGAGCUUAACUUAGGAAUUGCAUUCGAUACUGGGAAGCUAGAGUAUGGGAGAGGAUGGUAGAAUUCCAGGUGUAGCGGUGAAAUGCGUAGAGAUCUGAAGGAAUACCGAUGGCGAAGGCAGCCAUCUGGCCUAAUACUGACGCUGAGGUACGAAAGCAUGGGGAGCAAACAGGAUUAGAUACCCCAGUAGUCCCUGUCUCUUAUAC
rnacentral:rRNA from 1 species